CCCCUUGUAGCUUAGUUGGUAAAGAAUCUGCCAGCAAUGCAGGAGACCCGGGUUCGAUCCCUGGUUUGGGAA
rnacentral:tRNA from 1 species